GAUGAACGCUAGCUACAGGCUUAACACAUGCAAGUCGAGGGGCAGCAUGGUCUUAGCUUGCUAAGGCCGAUGGCGACCGGCGCACGGGUGAGUAACGCGUAUCCAACCUUCCCUAUAGUAGGGGAUAGCCCGUAGAAAUGCGGAUUAAUACCCUAUGUUGUAUUUUGAUGACAUCUGACGAAUACCAAAGGUUUACCGCUAUAGGAUGGGGAUGCGUCUGAUUAGGUUGUUGGCGGGGUAACGGCCCACCAAGCCUGCGAUCAGUAGGGGUUCUGAGAGGAAGGUCCCCCACAUUGGAACUGAGACACGGUCCAAACUCC
rnacentral:rRNA from 1 species